rnacentral:rRNA from 1 species
GACGAACGCUGGCGGCGUGCCUAAUACAUGCAAGUCGAACGAGAGCGACCGGUGCUUGCACUGGUCAAUCUAGUGGCGAACGGGUGAGUAACACGUGGGUAACCUGCCCAUCAGAGGGGGAUAACAUUCGGAAACGGAUGCUAAAACCGCAUAGGUCUUCGAACCGCAUGGUUUGAAGAGGAAAAGAGGCGCAAGCUUCUGCUGAUGGAUGGACCCGCGGUGCAUUAGCUAGUUGGUGAGGUAACGGCUCACCAAGGCCGUGAUGCAUAGCCGACCUGAGAGGGUGAUCGGCCACAUUGGGACUGAGACACGGCCCAAACUCCUACGGGAGGCAGCAGUAGGGAAUCUUCCGCAAUGGACGCAAGUCUGACGGAGCAACGCCGCGUGAGUGAAGAAGGUUUUCGGAUCGUAAAACUCUGUUGUUAGAGAAGAACAAGUGCUAGAGUAACUGUUAGCGCCUUGACGGUAUCUAACCAGAAAGCCGCGGCUAACUACGUG